rnacentral:sRNA from 1 species
AUGUUGAUCGUUAAUUUACACAGAGGAUUCAGCUAUUCGGCAGUACAGAUUUGAACCUAGGCAGUCAGACUCCACAGAUCUUGCUAAUAAAUAGACAUUGUUUUGUGAUGUAAGAUGUUUUGGUCAAAUAACUUUUUUGGGCUUUAGAAGUCUGGAUAUUUAUGUAAGGAGCAUAACAAAGGUAAAUCUAUUUUGGUCUCUUUAGAUUUCUUUGCAAGACUAUGGAAAGGAAGUGGACCUCUAUGCUUUGGGGCUAAUUCUUGCUGAACUUCUUCAUGUAUGUGAUACUGCUUCUGAAACAGCAAAGUUUUUCAAAGACCUACGGGAUGGCAUCAUCUCAGAUAUAUUUGAUAAAAAAGAAAAAACUCUUCUACAGAAAUUACUCUCAAAGAAACCUGAGGACCGACCUAA